rnacentral:rRNA from 1 species
AAGUUCCUACGGGAGGCAGCAGUGGGGAAUAUUGGACAAUGGGGGGAACCCUGAUCCAGCGACGCCGCGUGAGUGAAGAAGUAUUUCGGUAUGUAAAGCUCUAUCAGCAGGGAAGAAAGAAAUGACGGUACCUGACUAAGAAGCCCCGGCUAACUACGUGCCAGCAGCCGCGGUAAUACGUAGGGGGCAAGCGUUAUCCGGAUCUACUGGGUGUAAAGGGAGCGUAGACGGUGAUGCAAGUCUGAAGUGAAAGGCGGGGGCCCAACCCCCGGACUGCUUUGGAAACUGUAUAGCUGG